rnacentral:lncRNA from 1 species
GGUAGGUGUACCUGCCCAGGGCAGGGGGUUGGACUAGAUAACCUUUAAAGGUCCCUUCCAACCCAAACUAUUCUAUGACUCUAAAAUCACUUGGUUCCUAUCGUUUUAGAUCUGUGUUGUUCUGAAAUGGUUAUUAACCAUAUUUCUUCUGCCGUGCUUCAUCUCUGCAGCAUCCUCGCACUUCUGUGGCUCUUCAUGACAGCGACCUUCUCCUGGCUGCCCCUUCUCUUGUGUGUUACUCAUCAUUCUCUUUCUUUCUGCAGAAAUCUUUAUUUACCCCCCGAGAGAGGGAUUUGUAUCCGAUCAGCACAACCCUUAGCGCGGGAGAUGUAUUAAAAUGUUCCUACAACGCUCCAAGGAGAGGCCCUGGGGAGCUGGGGGGGUGGAAUCCCCUGGUGUUACCCCUGCUGCUUGGGGUCCUGGGGGAAAGGGACAGGGUCAUCAGGGAUUUGCAGCGCCAAGGACGUCAUCCUCCCACGAAACCUUCCCUCUGCGCCAAAGGCGCAGAGGGAAGGUUUCGUGGGAGGAUGACGUCCUUGGCGCUGCUUGUGUGUGGAAGUGAAUGACCUGAUUGUGGAAGUGAGACAUUAUUAUUAUUUUAUAAUACAUCAUGUGGUGUUUUGUUUUGUUUUAAAUAGAUUUCUACAGCUCCCCACAAGCAUCAACGCUUUGUAAGAUCCUUGCAUCGCUAGUUUUUUGCCAUCCCUGUGCGGGACAGCCCUGGUGAUAGUAAAUAUCUGUGAGCGACGGUCCAUCGGUGAAACCUCUGCUCUGCUGGAGAACGUGGCAGCCAUCCACAUCAUUUCUAAUCGGUUGAAGUCCCUUGUCAUUCAAGUCGAGACCAUAGCCCUGCGCAGGAGAAAGCACCGAGAAAGAGAGCAGCCUCUGCCAUGGAAAUGAAACCACGCAGCCUGUUUCUUCCACUGAGCGACUCCCAGCAGCAUCUUCCAAACUGGGAUGGAGCCUGGCUCUGGCCACCGAUGCCCCAAGGGGUGAGCCUGCCCCUGGUGCCCAGCCCGGGGGGGCUCCCACCCUGCUCCUGGUGCUGCUCCCCCGGGAGGGAGGAGGGAGGUCACGCCUGGGAGCAGGAGUGAAAGUCACAUUCAGAGAAGUGUGUGGAUUGAAAGAAGGAAACGGAUGGUGGGAAACAAAGCGCGGCCAAACCCCUGACUUUUUGCAAGUUAUAAAUACUGUACAAAAUUGUGAUUCUGACACCGGAAAAUGCUUUCUCCUGUUGUUCAAAGUGACUCCAGAUGCUGAUGCACUUAGUACACAGCGCAAGCAACCCGCCUGGAAUGAAAAAGCAAGGUAAUUGAGUUUACAUUCAUCUGUCAAUAUUCCUGAGGGACAGACUCUCCAGCCUGCCAAGUUUGCUCUGCUUAUGCAUGCAUAAGCAAAGCGUGAACUUAAACCGACUGGAGAUUCCCACAGUGGAUUCUCCCUGGUG